rnacentral:rRNA from 1 species
GAUGAACGCUGGCGGCGUGCCUAAUACAUGCAAGUCGAGCGAACAGACGAGGAGCUUGCUCCUCUGACGUUAGCGGCGGACGGGUGAGUAACACGUGGAUAACCUACCUAUAAGACUGGGAUAACUUCGGGAAACCGGAGCUAAUACCGGAUAAUAUAUUGAACCGCAUGGUUCAAUAGUGAAAGACGGUUUUGCUGUCACUUAUAGAUGGAUCCGCGCCGCAUUAGCUAGUUGGUAAGGUAACGGCUUACCAAGGCAACGAUGCGUAGCCGACCUGAGAGGGGGAUCGGCCACACGGGAACUGAAACACGGUCCAGACCCCUAGGGGAGGCAGAAGUAGGGAAUCUUCCGCAAUGGGGGAAAGCCUGACGGAGCAACGCCGGGUGAGUGAUGAAGGUCUUCGGAUCGUAAAACUCUGUUAUUAGGGAAAAAAAAAUGUGUAAGUAACUAUGCACGUCUUGACGGUACCUAAUCAGAAAGCCACGGCAAACUACGU